rnacentral:rRNA from 1 species
GACGGGGGGGGGCAAGUGUUCUUCGGAAUGACUGGGCGUAAAGGGCACGUAGGCGGUGAAUCGGGUUGAAAGUGAAAGUCGCCAAAAAAGUGGCGGAAUGCUCUCGAAACCAAUUCACUUGAGUGAGACAGAGGAGAGUGGAAUUUCGUGUGUAGGGGUGAAAUCCGUAAAUAUACGAAGGAACGCCAAAAGCGAAGGCAGCUCUCUGGGUCCCUACCGACGCUGGGGUGCGAAAGCGUGGGGAGCAAACGGGG